GUGCCAGACGGGCCCAUCCAUCUAUCUAUCUAUCCAUCCAUCCAUCCAUCCAUCCAUCCUUCCUUCCUCAAAAGUCCUGCUCUUCUUUUCGGCUAAGAGGGUGAGAAACAAGUGGCCAAGAUGUCUGAGAAGAAGAUGACAUCGAGCCGCAGGCACCAUCUGAAG